GCUCCCUGAUGUUAGCGGCGGACGGGUGAGUAACACGUGGGUAACCUGCCUGUAAGACUGGGAUAACUCCGGGAAACCGGGGCUAAUACCGGAUGCUUGAUUGAACCGCAUGGUUCAAUUAUAAAAGGUGGCUUUUAGCUACCACUUACAGAUGGACCCGCGGCGCAUUAGCUAGUUGGUGAGGUAACGGCUCACCAAGGCAACGAUGCGUAGCCGACCUGAGAGGGUGAUCGGCCACACUGGGACUGAGACACGGCCCAGACUCCUACGGGAGGCAGCAGUAGGGAAUCUUCCGCAAUGGACGAAAGUCUGACGGAGCAACGCCGCGUGAGUGAUGAAGGUUUUCGGAUCGUAAAACUCUGUUGUUAGGGAAGAACAAGUACCGUUCGAAUAGGGCGGUACCUUGACGGUACCUAACCAGAAAGCCACGGCUAACUACGUGCCAGCAGCCGCGGUAAUACGUAGGUGGCAAGCGUUGUCCGGAAUUAUUGGGCGUAAAGCGCGCGCAGGCGGUUUCUUAAGUCUGAUGUGAAAGCCCCCGGCUCAACCGGGGAGGGUCAUUGGAAACUGGGGAACUUGAGUGCAGAAGAGGAGAGUGGAAUUCCACGUGUAGCGGUGAAAUGCGUAGAGAUGUGGAGGAACACCAGUGGCGAAGGCGACUCUCUGGUCUGUAACUGACGCUGAGGCGCGAAAGCGUGGGGAGCGAACAGGAUUAGAUACCCUGGUAGUCCACGCCGUAAACGAUGAGUGCUAAGUGUUAGAGGGUUUCCGCCCUUUAGUGCUGCAGCAAACGCAUUAAG
rnacentral:rRNA from 1 species